UACGUAGGGGGCAAGCGUUGUCCGGAAUCAUUGGGCGUAAAGAGCUCGUAGGCGGUUCGGCAAGUCAGCUGUGAAAUCUCCACGCUCAACGUGGAGGGGUCAGCUGAUACUGCUGUGACUUGAGUCCGGUAGGGGAGUGUGGAAUUCCCGGUGUAGCAGUGAAAUGCGCAGAUAUCGGGAGGAACACCAGUAGCGAAGGCGGCACUCUGGGCCGGUACUGACGCUGAGGAGCGAAAGCGUGGGGAGCGAACAGG
rnacentral:rRNA from 1 species